rnacentral:rRNA from 1 species
CCUACGGGGGGCUGCAGUGGGGAAUAUUGCACAAUGGGCGCAAGCCUGAUGCAGCCAUGCCGCGUGUGUGAAGAAGGCCUUCGGGUUGUAAAGCACUUUCAGCGGGGAGGAAGGCGGUGAGGUUAAUAACCUCAUCGAUUGACGUUACCCGCAGAAGAAGCACCGGCUAACUCCGUGCCAGCAGCCGCGGUAAUACGGAGGGUGCAAGCGUUAAUCGGAAUUACUGGGCGUAAAGCGCACGCAGGCGGUCUGUCAAGUCGGAUGUGAAAUCCCCGGGCUCAACCUGGGAACUGCAUUCGAAACUGGCAGGCUAGAGUCUUGUAGAGGGGGGUAGAAUUCCAGGUGUAGCGGUGAAAUGCGUAGAGACCUGGAGGAAUACCGGUGGCGAAGGCGGCCCCCUGGACAAAGACUGACGCUCAGGUGCGAAAGCGUGGGGAGCAAACAGGAUUAGAUACCCGAGUAGUC